CGACAUGCAUUGUUGUAGGAUCGUAUUCUGUGCACGGCUGCUUUUGUCAAUGUGUUAUUAUUCUGUCCGCGAAAGCAGUUCGCAAGGAAUAAUCAUGGAUACAUCGGAAGAAAGAAAUAUAUCCCGCUUCUCGAGGAUAUCCAUUCAAAAGACGAUUGAAUAGAAUCAAAGCGAUACUAGAAUGUUGUGCAAUUAUUUUUCACACUCAGAAUUUUACUUCAUGAUUAUUAUUAUGGUAUACCUUCGAUACUUUAAAAUUCAAUUGUCAUAUUAAAAUCUUAUGAGAAAAAUA